UACGAAGGGUGCAAACGUUGCUCGGAAUUAUUGGGCGUAAAGCGCACGUAGGCGGCUUUGCAAGUCCCAUGUGAAAUCCCACGGCUCAACCGUGGAAGUGCAUGGGAAACUGCAGAGCUUGAGUACUUAAGAGGAUCGCGGAACUCCCGGUGUAGAGGUGAAAUUCGUAGAUAUCGGGAGGAACACCAGUGGCGAAGGCGGCGAUCUGGGAAGAUACUGACGCUGAGGUGCGAAAGCGUGGGGAGCAAACAGG
rnacentral:rRNA from 1 species